rnacentral:lncRNA from 1 species
ACUACAAGGACGCAUAAAUAGCAAGACUAUCGAUCCCGUUCCAGAUCAUAUGCAGAGUACUUUUUUAGAAAAAAUCAAGUGUGAAAGACCAGGACCAUAUGAAUAGGAAGAUUGGGGCAGAAGAAAGGACCAUUGGACCAAAGCCGUUCUGCCGAACAUGGUUCCUGGUUCUCAGUUCACCUGCCUUGGGCCUCAGCUUGGACUUGAAUUUCUCCUCAUCUGGGGCUGCUAAGGGGUCACUGUUCUCUGUGUCCCUUGGCCCAGUCCCAGACUCCCAUUGGUGAACAGCACUCUGACAAUUCGGAGCCAUACUUGGGCCUUAAGAGGAUGUACUAGAUGUUGUGAGGAAAGCCACAGUCUCCGGGGCCAAGACCCCUGACUGCUCCUGUCUCAUCCAUAAUGCCCCAAGAGAGAAAGCUGCUUCCCUGUAUGCCUCCCAUGCCCAAAUAGUAGCAGCACACUAAACUCUCCCACCUGCCUAGUCUGAGGAUAAGGUGGAAAAAUGGAGACUGUUCCU